rnacentral:rRNA from 1 species
UACGGAGGGGGCCAGCGUUGUUCGGAAUUAUUGGGCGUAAAGGGCGCGUAGGCGGCCAUUCAAGUCGGACGUGAAAUCCCUCGGCUCAACCGGGGAACUGCGUCCGAUACUGUCUGGCUCGAGUCCUGGAGAGGGUAGUGGAAUUCCCAGUGUAGCGGUGAAAUGCGUAGAUACUGGGAGGAACACCGGUGGCGAAGGCGGCUACCUGGACAGGUACUGACGCUGAUGCGCGAAAGCUAGGGGAGCAAACAGG